AUAAAAAAAUUGAGAUUAUGUAGAAUUUCAAGACAUUUUUUAAAACAUGCAAUAAUUAUUUAAAAAAAAAAUGUGUACUUCUAAUCGAAAAACAGAACAGAUACAUUUUCAGAUAACACUUUGUGUUUUGGGCUCUAAGUUGGCUGUAUACUAGAAAGCAGUGUUGGGGAAUGUUACGUUUAAAAGUAACUUGUUAGGUUACAGCGUUACUGGCAUUAAAAAGUAACCCAUUACCCCGUUACUUACUGUGGAAAGUAACGCGUUAUGUUACCGCGUUACUUACUGUGGAAAGUAACUCGUUUAGUCGUUACAUUACUUUUGCGUUACAAAACCCCAGAAAACUCUCUGAAAAUGUAUUGCGCGUGUUGGUCGUUGUUAUGCCCAGUAGAGAGUGGCUUGCCUAUUUACUAAUCGGUGCUACAAUGAUUUCAUCCGACGUCAUGGGAGCGCUCCAGACCCGAGAUCUCUGUCAGAUUACCAUGAUAGCUGUUUCAGUUGUUUUACUAAAUUUAACCGUGUAUUUUGCAAUAAACAAUGUGUUAUUUUUUAAAUAGCAUUAUUAUUUGGUUGUUGUAACUGUUCCACACAAAAAAAUGCGUGAAGAAGGAAAAACGUGUACACAUUAUGAUAAGAUAUAAAAGCCUACUUAUUAAUAGUCUUUAUUAUUUUCUGGCUUUAAUUAUGUCUAUUUCGUUUCUUUAAAGCUGCCGAAAUGUUGGUUUUGAUUUAUGGACAAUGUCCAAGUGUUCUAACGAAAUUCCAUAUUAAAACUAUCGAAAUGUUUGAUAAAUACGAAAAAAAAAGUGUUGCAUCACAAUUCAAUUCUAUCUUGAUAAAUCCAAGGCACCAUAAAUCAAAACCAACAUUUAGGCAGCUUUAAAGAAACGAAAUAGACAUAUUAAAGCCAGAUAAUAAUAAAGACUAUUAAGUUACAACAAGCCCGACUUGAAAUGUCGACGUGAACAUGUUAAUAACAGUAAACUGCAAACCGCGAAUGCAACUGUCAGAGUAAAUCCUUAAGCAUUGAAAUAAAUGGCAUGCAAUCAAAGGAAUUACUUACAAUCAUCAAAGACGCAGACAUGUUCAUUUAGUUUUCUCUGGGUGACAGGUCGAAACAAAACAUAAAUCUAGAUGUUGCUGUUUUGGAAGCAGAAGCGCAAUCUUCCUCAGCAUCAACAGGAAUCGGAUUCUUGGGUCCUUUUCCACCGGUCUUGUGGAGCUGAGCUUGGCCUGAAUGUGCUUCUUGAUAUUUGAAGUUGACAGGCGCUUAGCCCCGAGACACAGUUUGCGUUGUAUUAUUAUUAUGUUGUUUUCCUUUUCUUUUACAAAUUCUAAAUCAUGUGAAUACUUUCACGUGGUAAAGGCUGGUGGCUCUGCCAUCCUGAUAGUUUCAUGCCACAACGUUCUUGAAGAAACAAGAAGAGCGUGAAUUUAUGGGGAAGGAAUUUUCAUAUAAUAAUUUGUCAAGGGAAAUAAUAUUUAAAUGUAACGAUUCGCUUAUUUGAAAAAGUAUCUUUAAGUAUCUGAUUUCUUAAAUUGAAAAACGAAUAGGUUAAGUUUCUCAUUACCACAAAAAAAAGAAGUAAUUUGAGUAUUCUAACGCGUUACUCGUUACCCCCAACACUGCUAGAGAAGAUGGAGGGAAAACAUCUUCUAGCCACUCGAAACCAGCAAACGUCCUGAUUCAGAUUGAAAUGUGUUUUCAUUGGCCACUCCUUUGCGUGAGCAAAUAGAGCCUUGUGAUUAGAGGGCAUGGCCGUUGGUAGUGUUACUCUUCCUUACUUCAUGUUACAAGGCAGAUGAAGGAAGGAGGGAAGGAAGGAAGGAAGGAAGGAAGGAAGGAAGGAAGGAAGGAAGGAAGGAAGGAAGGAAGGAAGGAAGGAAGGAAGGAAGGAAGGAAGGAAGGAAGGAGAUAAAAUAAAGGGGGGGGAGAGAUGUAUCCUUUCUGUGUCUGUCUGUCACACAGAGAGUCCCAGACCAGGUCAGAAUAGAGCAAAGUCUCUCAACCAUUUUCUGAGACCCAAGUCAAAGGUCAAGGUCUCUCCCAGGUGAUGUCACUUCCUGAUAAUGACGAUGCAAUGGAAAGGCACAGCCAGAGGGGGAUGUACUGUAUAUCCCAGAAUCUGAGCAGUCCAUCACCUUGUAUGAUUUGCCUGAUUUUAAACCCCGGAUUAGCACUUCCCAUCCCCCCUCUGUUCCCCUAGAUCUCCCUUCCUGACCCCUAAAACCACCCCAAGACCCCAGAAAUGCAAUUUUAACAUUCACUUCUACCAAUGUGCCUUUUAGAGUUCAUAUCAUUCAAAUGCGAUGAGGAGGAGACGGACGUUAUCUGAACUUUUUAGGAUUCAAGCUUAGGGAACUGUUAGUUAUUAGGUCUAUGCAGUCAGGUUUUUUCUGACCUGGGAAUUUAAAAAACAGUAAAAAGAAAAAAAAAGUAUUUUGGGAUAAACUGUAUUUAAUUGUACUGUAUGCUUACAUGUAAUUAGAAGGCGUGUCCCUGAAUGGACCUUGUUUUAGUCAGUUGAGCCCCCUGGCGGCCCCAGCACCCCGAGUUUCAGCACCCCUUCCUCUAUUCCAAGUUGCAGCCUGUUUCCAUUGUGAACAACAUGUCUGUUAUUGAGCGUUGUAUUAUAGCUAUCAGCUUUUUAUCAAUAUUGGCUUGUCCGUGAGCCCCUGUAGUCUUCAGUACCAGUGUGUGGUUGUAUGUGUAAAACACAACUUCUUCUCUUUUUUAAUCUUUCUCUUAUUCUUUGUCUGUUCUGGUUUCUGUGUCGAUGAAAAAAAUACUAAACCACGACUUGCUGCCCUUAUGAAAAUUGGACAGCAGCUGUUUUUAAAAGUGGUUUAUGUUAUCCAAUCAACACAAGGCACUGAAACUGGAAAAUAAUCUAUUUGAAAAUCAAUAUAUAUAAAUGUAAAAAUAUAUACAAUAUAUAAAUAAGGAAGGUGCCAGUUUUCAAAGGAACGGUUGUUUUGGGUCAGAUUAAUUAUUUUCUUAGAGAUGGGUGGAAAGUUUGAAGAGGCAUCUCAGUGGUAAUGAGAUAUGAAGGUUUGAAGAGGCAUCUCAGUGUUAAUGAGGUAUGAAGGUUUGAAGAGGCAUCUCAGUGUUAAUGAGGUAUGAAGGUUUGAAGAGGCAUCUCAAGUGUUAAAGAGACGUGACUUGUUCUGCUGUGCCCGUGACAUCACAAUGACUGACUAUGGCACCCCUGACUGGACAAAAGGGACAGGAGUUCCCCAUCAUCCUCCACUCAUUGCUAUUCAGCUGUCAAAGAAAACACACAGACAUUUGUAAAUUGUAUGCAACAGAUGCAAACGUACCAUUAUUUUGAAAUUGUGUAUGUAAAAGUUAUAUUUUUACAUGUAGACUGUUGUUAUUUUGUGUUUAGAUAAUACAUUGUAUCAGUUUUUUUUUUGUUAAAAGAAAAAAAAAGUAAAAUUCGGUGUGUGUUGAAAACGUGUCACAUUGAAAUUGUAGUGAGGUCAAAAGCUUCAGUAUCAUUUUCAGUUUUUUUUCCCCCCAAAACGUUUGUUUAUAUUUCCGGAUUUUUUUUUUUCAAAGAAUGGGAUGCGGGGGGUAAUUGGAAAUCAAAAAGGUAUAUAAUAUUAUUUUCAUGCUCCAUGCUCAUUGCCAUUUUUCAUUGUAUUUUUUAAGAAAAUGUGUAAGUAGUUAUAGCACACAGGGUUCAUGUCCCUUUGGUGGGGGUGGGGUGACGAAUAGCUGAGAGUGGGAAAUGAUUGAGUUGAUUUGAUCCGUUGUAUUCUGCUUGUAAUGUGCCUGGUCAUUCUAGCCAGGUGCCAAUAUUAAUUAAAAAAUGAACGGCAAUUAA